UACAGAGGUCUCAAGCGUUGUUCGGAUCAUUGGGCGUAAAGGGUGCGUAGGCGGCGCGGUAAGUCGGGUGUGAAAUCUCGGAGCUUAACUCCGAAACUGCAUUCGAUACUGCCGUGCUUGAGGACUGGAGAGGAGACUGGAAUUUACGGUGUAGCGGUGAAAUGCGUAGAUAUCGUAAGGAAGACCAGUGGCGAAGGCGGGUCUCUGGACAGUUCCUGACGCUGAGGCACGAAGGUCAGGGGAGCAAAACGGG
rnacentral:rRNA from 1 species